CCAUGCAGUCGCAACAAGCCCGACAAUGCGCUGGGCGUGCUUUCGACGGCGGUGACACGCACAACAAUGGGUUCUGUGCUGACAGCACAAAAUACAUUUUUGCAGGUCUCCAAGGCAUAACCGUGAGCAAGAGACUCAACUUGGAAAAAUCAACUUGAGUUCGUUUCUCUCUGCCGAGAAACCAGCAUUUCCGUGUCGUCCGCUGUCGUGGAGAGAGUGCCUCACGCGCUGCAUGUCGAGGCACUACAUGGCUGGUGCUUGGAUCAACACAGGAACCCGUAACGCUCGUCGCGAACAAGCAUUCGUCUGAUUUUCGGACUUUUCAGAUAUACUCUGGAGGUUAGAACGGCAUUCGUAGACCGAUGAAAUUCAAGAGUUUCCCCCCUUGAGGGCUAGCACAUUGCCAGCACCUGGCGUAUGAACGGGGAGUACUUGUGCGAUCCAGCACCGCCAGUAGAGACUACCUCUGGGCUUCAGAGAACUAUAGCACAAUAUGAAAGUGAAAACGUCAGCCUACAAAACUAGCGGUGCAAUGGAAACUCCUGUUCGAAGCUGGUGGCGCACGGACAUAGCCUGCUGGCGUUCUGAUGUCACGGGAAUAUUCACAGCGGGAAUAGGGCUUCUUGCGUGUUACUUUCAAACAACGGAGUCACCUCAGCCAUGCCAAGCGUUAGCCGCACUCACAUCUGUUUGCACCAGCUUCAAUCAGAAUCCCUUUUCCUUCGGUUUUAUCAUUUUGGACUCUUUUGAGGAGAAUCUCGAGGGUUAAGAGUCAAUCUUCUGCCAGAGUAUCACAAGCAAACUGAAAUGCGCCUUGUCGUUUGGCAUUCUUUGCAGGAGAACUGGUAGGGUGUAGACUAUCUAGUAGGCUGGUGAACACACUUUGUGAAUAACAUAAAACGUGACUGUGGUUUAGAAUCUCAUUCGCUGUUGCGCAGAAAACGUCUGCAACACGCUGACCGAAACGGUAAGUUGUGCCUCUCUGGAAAACAGAUGCAGUUGUGGGGA
rnacentral:lncRNA from 1 species